rnacentral:sRNA from 1 species
GCGCACUCGGGAUCCCGACCAGUCCUGACCGCACGGGGGGCGCGGCUACGGGGCGCAGGGGCCAUGGUGCGCGGCAGGAUCUCCCGGCUCUCGGUCCGGGACGUGCGCUUCCCCACGUCGCUUGGGGGCCACGGCUCGGACGCCAUGCACACGGACCCUGACUACUCGGCUGCCUAUGUCGUCAUAGAAACUGAUGCAGAAGAUGGAAUCAAGGGGUGUGGAAUUACCUUCACUCUGGGAAAAGGCACUGAAGUUGAUUGGUCCAGAAAAGGGCGUGGUGCACCUGGCGACAGCGGCCGUCCUAAACGCGGUGUGGGACUUGUGGGCCAAGCAGGAGGGAAAGCCUGUCUGGAAGUUACUUGUGGACAUGGAUCCCAGGACGCUGGUAUCCUGCAUAGAUUUCAGGUACAUCACUGAUGUCCUGACUGAAGAGGAUGCCCUAGAAAUACUGCAGAAAGGUCAAGUUGGUAAAAAAGAAAGAGAGAAGCAAAUGCUGGCACAAGGAUACCCUGCUUACACGACAUCGUGCGCCUGGCUGGGGUACUCAGAUGACACGUUGAAGCAGCUCUGUGCCCAGGCGCUGAAGGAUGGCUGGACCAGGUGAGUGUGAUGAUGGACCUGACUUUCCCAGUUGGCGGCAGGAGAGACUCAGGCAGUAAGUCUCUCCUGGCAGGGAGCCAAGGAGUAAAAGGCACCCACGGGCUAGGAUCACCCUGGCUCAUAGGGAUGCAUAAGAGAAGUUUCCUCUUAGGCCAGGCUCUUUCUCUAAAGGCAGGAUGUGAGUCCUCAUUAGAAUUAUAGGCCAUCAGAGUUGAAAGAGGCUUGGGAGAUUGUUUAUUUCAGGCACUAACCUAGAGUAGAAAUCCAGUCUUUACCGUCAGUAACAGCGUUGAUUCAGUUUCUGCAUGAACAUCUCCAGAGGCAGCGAGCUUAACUUGGUGAGGCACUUUCCAUUCUUUGAGGGCUUUGAGUAUUAGGUGGGUCUUUUCUUCUCUUUUUUUUUUUUUGAGAUGAAGUUUCACUCUCGUCACCCAGACUGGAGUGCAGUGGCGCAAUCUCGGCUCAGUGCAACCUCCACCUCCCGGAUUCAAGCCAUUCUCCUGCCUCAGCCUCCCUAGUAGCUGGGAUUACAGACACCCGCCACCACACCUGGCUAAUUUUUAUAUUUUUAAUAGAGACAGGGUUUCGCUAUGUUGAUCAGGCUGGUCCUGAACUCCUGACCUCAGGUGAUCCGCCUGCCUCAGCCUCCCAAAGUGCUGGGAUUAUAGGCGUGAGCCACUGCACCCAGCCAGGUGGGUCUUUAAUAUCAGCAACCCUUUGCUUCCAUGUAAUUUCCAGUCAGAGGUCCCAGUUCCCAAGAGCCAGGCUGUUCUUCUUCCACUUGAGUGGCCUCCUCUCCCUCCAGGCCACCUCCUUUCCACACUGCUCAUCUGUACUUCUCCCUUCUGACUCUCGCCUGUGCAGGUAAAGACCUCUGGCCAUCCUAAGACCUUCUCUGGAUG